rnacentral:rRNA from 1 species
CCUACGGGUGGCAGCAGUAGGGAAUAUUGCUCAAUGGGCGAAACCCUGAAGCAGCAACGCCGCGUGGAGGAUGAAGGUUUUCGGAUUGUAAACUCCUUUUGUUAGAGAAGAUAAUGACGGUAUGUAACGAAUAAGCAACGGCUAACUCCGUGCCAGCAGCCGCGGUCAUACGGAGGGUGCCAGCGUUACUCGGAAUCACUGGGCGUAAAGGGCGCGUAGGCGGGAUAGCAAGUCAGAUGUGAAAUCCUUUGGCUUAACCAUAGAACUGCAUUUGAAACUGUUAUUCUAGAGUAUGGGAGAGGUAGGUGGAAUUCGUGGUGUAGGGGUGAAAUGCGUAGAGAUCAAGAAGAAUACUCAUUGCGAAGGCGGCCUACUAGAACAAAACUGACGCUGAUGCGCGAAAGCGUGGGGAGCAAACAGGAUUAGAUACCCGAGUAGUC